CCAUUUAAAUGACAAAUUCCAUGGUUUAGGUGCAGAAUUCAAAAUCCAUGUUUGUCUCCAAAAAAAGCAGAUUGCUUAGCAUUCUGGUUAGGCACAAUACUUUCUUUAUUUUUCAGUUUGUUAUUGGUUGAUUUGUUUGUUUGUUUUUUCUCGGUAGGGGUUCUGAUUUCAAAUGGAUAUGGGAAUCUGUUAGGAGGUGGUGGGUAGGUGUACUGUUGUUGUUUGGGUUUUGUUUUCCUUUUGGUUAUAGGUAGGCGAGGCGGGGCUUGAUGGCAUUCCAACACACCUGCGACGCAUCGGACGUCAUCAGUGAGCGCUUUUAGGGAGCAGAGUCACGGACGUCUGGUGUCGGAGUAUUAUCGCUGUCACAAGUGCCUGUUCCAUCGCCUGCCCGCCUACCUAGGAUUUUGUGUUGGCUAUUCUGGAUCCGCGACGGAGUGCUACGUACCAUCAGGCGGCGAUCACCGCAGCGGCUGUGGUUUGGGUGGUCAAGUAGCUCCGGUGCGUCUGCUACCUACCUGUAUGCUUCGGCUCCAUCUCAUCGCCUCGGUGUUUUCCUGCUGGCACAUUUUUAUUUAUCACUGUAUAUAGCCCCUUUCCCUUGUAAAUAUUCCCCCUUACUUGUGUAUAUAUAAAACUUGCAUCACCAACUA
ensembl:lncRNA